UCUUUUGUUUUUUCACAAGAGCAGGUUGUAAUCUUCCCUCCCUCCCUCCCUCCAGACCCGGGAACUGUUUUCGUGGUGGAAAACAAAUGCUUGACAUGUUCUAGCAGUCAAGGUUAAUUUCCAGGCAGUGCGGAUGUUUACUGCCUCUUAAGGGAGCCUCUGGCUGCUUUGCAUUCCACUUGUUUCUGGAGCUGAAGAAACACUGCUUAAAAGGAUUAAUUUGCUGGGCACUCCAGAGAAUUUGGAAGCAGAUGGAAGAAACCAACAAGAAGGUUCAACGGCUGAGAUGGCGACGCAGCAAAGCACUGUGGAGUGCUUAGGGCGUGUUGGAGCACAAAAGACAACACAGCCAUCCAAUGCAGCUGAGGAAAUCUCCAGGUGUAAUGACUUUUCGUGCCACUGGACCCAGGCUUCCAACGCCAAGAGAGUGGGACUGUCUCUGUGCAUCGACUUUUCCACUUAAAUCUCCUUCACGCACAAGUGUCUUUGUGCACACUCAUCUAUCAUAGAUGAAAAUGCACAAAGAUAAUCCUCAUCCUCGGUUACCGAGAGACUACUACUAGACUAUACUUUAUUAUCCCACUACCUUCCUCACAGAGUUGUAAGGUUCAAAUAAGAAAAUGUGUGAAAAGUGAAACUCAAAAUAUUAUAUAAAUGUCAACUGUUCUUAUUAUCAUGGUGACAAUGGAGUUGAUAUAUAAUCACUUAUUUGCUUUAGUUCCUUGUAACAAAAAUCUUAUCUGUUUUCUAUUUGCUUCUUACUGGAGUCUUUUUUAAAUUGUCUGUAGACCUAAUAGAGAAAGGGAAAACAAAAUCAAUUGUAUAUCUAUCUCUAUAUACAUAUAAAUAGAUGCAUAUUUAUAUAUACACCAUUCCUCUUUUGGGGCUAUAAGUAGUGCAAAAUAUCUUUAAAAUAAUAAAAAUUACAACUUGCCUGUCCCUUUAACUCCAUAUAGCCAUGCUUUACUUCAAGAUAAUAAACUAUGGAGAAUAGGAAACUAGGUAAUAGAUAGCAAGUACCAGGAAGAUGUUUCUCUUAAAAAUAACCAAUUCCUUCUAGAGUAUCAGCAAAGAUAGCUUUGCCUAUGAAACUUGAGAACUUUUUCAAAGAAAUUUGGUUACAAAUCAUGAGUCCUUGGAAUUGGGACCCACAGACUUGCUAGAAUUACGUCAUGUAUAACUUUGGUGACUUUUUAAGGUUUUAUUGCUCUGUAAAAAAUUAUGUCUGGGAGGAAAAAUCAUUCCUUUAUUGAAUUCAAUAAGUAUGUAUUUAGUGCCUACUAAGUGUUAGAUUGUUUUAUGUGAAUAAUUCAAAUAGUUCUUUCCUUUAAGGAACCUAUAUUCAAUGUCUCCUUAUUAAAAACAUUAAAAAAAAUGAAAGCCAA